rnacentral:rRNA from 1 species
AUUGAACGCUGGCGGCAUGCCUUACACAUGCAAGUCGAACGGCAGCACGGGGCAACCUGGUGGGGAGUGGCGAACGGGUGAGUAAUGCAUCGGAACGUACCUUUCAGUGGGGGAUAACGUAGCGAAAGUUACGCUAAUACCGCAUAUUCUGUGAGCAGGAAAGCAGGGGAUCGCAGGACCUUGCGCUGAUUGAGCGGCCGAUGUCAGAUUAGCUAGUUGGUGAGGUAAAGGCUCACCAAGGCGACGAUCUGUAGCGGGUCUGAGAGGAUGAUCCGCCACACUGGAACUGAGACACGGUCCAGACUCCUACGGGAGGCAGCAGGGGGGAAUUUUGGACAAUGGGGGCAACCCUGAUCCAGCCAUGCCGCGUGAGUGAAGAAGGCCUUCGGGUUGUAAAGCUCUUUCGGCCGGGAAGAAAUCGCACGGGCUAAUACCCUGUGUGGAUGACGGUACCGGAAUAAGAAGCACCGGCUAACUACGUGCCAGCCGCCGCAGUAAGAC